CACGUAGGGUGCGAGCGUUGUCCGGAAUUAUUGGGCGUAAAGAGCUCGUAGGCGGUGUGUCGCGUCGGCCGUGAAAACCUGCAGCUUAACUGUGGGCUUGCGGUCGAUACGGGCAUCACUGGAGUUCGGCAGGGAGACUGGAAUUCCUGGUGUAGCGGUGAAAUGCGCAGAUAUCAGGAGGAACACCGGUGGCGAAGGCGGUCUCUGGGCAUUACCUGACGCUGAGGAGCGAAAGUGUGGGAGCGAACAGG
rnacentral:rRNA from 1 species